AUUGAACGCUGGCGGCAUGCCUUACACAUGCAAGUCGAACGGCAGCAUGAUCUCGCUUGCUAGAUUGAUGGCGAGUGGCGAACGGGUGAGUAAUACAUCGGAACGUGCCCUGUGGUGGGGGAUAACUAGUCGAAAGAUUAGCUAAUACCGCAUACGACCUGAGGGUGAAAGUGGGGGACCGCAAGGCCUCAUGCUAUAGGAGCGGCCGAUGUCUGAUUAGCUAGUUGGUGAGGUAAAGGCUCACCAAGGCGACGAUCAGUAGCUGGUCUGAGAGGACGAUCAGCCACACUGGGACUGAGACACGGCCCAGACUCCUACGGGAGGCAGCAGUGGGGAAUUUUGGACAAUGGGCGAAAGCCUGAUCCAGCAAUGCCGCGUGUGUGAAGAAGGCCUUCGGGUUGUAAAGCACUUUUGUCCGGAAAGAAAUGGCUCUGGUUAAUACCUGGGGUCGAUGACGGUACCGGAAGAAUAAGGACCGGCUAACUACGUG
rnacentral:rRNA from 1 species